AGGGGCAGCAUGUUAAACUCUUAUGACACCUCUUAGAGGAGAAAUGACUGGUCACGGUGAGGGUCAAGCAUCAGUCCAGUUGUGACAUCUCUGUGAGUGGACAUAUCACUCUAACUUAGAUGUGCCGCAACUCUUGGUACUCUGGGUGCCCCCAGUUUAAGAUUCAAACUGUCUUAAUAGAGAGGACAAGACCCAUAGGUACUAAUAUGGAGUGUGAUUCUCAGCAUUCAUCCCAAAAGAGCCAAGCCAUCAAGAAAACCUGUUCUGCCUUUGCAAAUUAAAUGGAAUACUUAAGAGUUCACAUGAAGAAAAUACAAAACAUGUAAACAGCUCUUUGAGGUUUAACAAGCUGAAGACUUAGCUGAAUGUUUUCUGCAACUUGACAAUCAGAAGUGACAUCCACACAAUAGAAUGUCCUUCUUCUUAGCAGAUCCAUUGUUUCUCUGCUAAUAAAUGCAAGCGUCACAUGAAAUCCACUUCUCGUUUCAUUUUCUGCAGCAUAACGUAGAGCUAAACAACCAGCACUCCAGCAGACCUCCACCAUGCUCCCACACGACGCGUAAAGUCUCUACAACAGGAUAUGCCUGCACUUACUGAGUCCCUUUUCUUGCUAGGAGGACAGCAGAGAGAAGAGUCUCUUUUAGACAGCCAUCACUAGUCUGACGGACCGAAGGACAGUGUCUUCCGAGGACUGGGACGGAUUCUUGACUCGGGUGUUUGGGAAGCGGAGGGGGGAGUCGCCUUCCUCGGAUUUCGAGUGUCUUGACCUUGCUUUAAGGACGGGUCAGGGAAGUCUGCUAUUGGUUUCUGAAAAUCGGUCCCUCAGUCAUCCAUCAAGUGUCUAUGCGCUGGCACCUGAGAGCCCUCCUGGAUGGGCCUGCCCUCACCCGCAGCGGCAGACACAGUCUGGCCGCACUAAUCCAGAAAAACUGCAUGCCUGCAGGAACGUCAGGUCCAGAGACGACAGGGAGUAGGAACUAAGUCAGGACAGAAUGUCACGAUCACCUUUUACCAGCCCCUGUGCCUCUGUGUGCCCAGGCCUUGCACUCGCACAGUCCAGCCGGCUCCCUCGGGCCACAGCAGGUGUGAGCAGCACUGUGUGCUGCAGGAGGCAGAGAGAAAACGGAGGGACACCCCUGACCUGGGAGUGUGCCAUCAGGUGGGGACGCAGGGCACAGUAUUAGGGAAACAGCCUGAGGACUUGGAAGGCAAACUAGCAAGAGGUCCAGGGCUCUGGAGCCAGACUCUCUGGGUCCAGGUCCUGCCUGUGUGUGAUAAUUGUGUGACCUUGGGGAAGUCGCAUACCCUCCCAUCCCUAAAACCUCAUGGGGUUGUUACAAGGACUGAAAAUCAGAACAUGCACAAUGUUUUGUACCCGCUCGAUUAAAAACUCUUUGAAAAGCUUAACCAGCUCCCAUGAGUGCCCUGACAGCUUCCUGUCACAGAGGGAACGAGAUCCACCCGGGCCUCAGAGCUGAAGGCUGCACAGCCUCACCCUGCCUGUCUCUCCAGCCUCAGUGCCCCCACCCCUGCUCACUCACCCCCAGGCCCACCGGCCUCCACGUUUUCCUUCCUCCCACCUCAGGG
rnacentral:lncRNA from 1 species